GAUGAACGCUGGCGGCGUGCCUAAUACAUGCAAGUCGAGCGAACAGAUGAGGAGCUUGCUCCUCUGACGUUAGCGGCGGACGGGUGAGUAACACGUGGAUAACCUACCUAUAAGACUGGGAUAACUUCGGGAAACCGGAGCUAAUACCGGAUAAUAUAUUGAACCGCAUGGUUCAAUAGUGAAAGACGGUUUUGCUGUCACUUAUAGAUGGAUCCGCGCCGCAUUAGCUAGUUGGUAAGGUAACGGCUUACCAAGGCGACGAUGCGUAGCCGACCUGAGAGGGUGAUCGGCCACACUGGAACUGAGACACGGUCCAGACUCCUACGGGAGGCAGCAGUAGGGAAUCUUCCGCAAUGGGCGAAAGCCUGGCGGAGCAACGCCGCGUGAGUGAUGAAGGUCUUCGGAUCGUAAAACUCUGUUAUUAGGGAAGAACAAAUGUGUAAGUAACUAUGCACGUCUUGACGGUACCUAAUCAGAAAGCCACGGCUAACUACGU
rnacentral:rRNA from 1 species